UAGAAUAUUGUGUUAUCAACCGUAACAUAAAAUGUCCUCUAUUAAGUACUAGUAAUACAAAUUGAAGGUCAAUACGUCAAUUUUCCGAUAUAUGUAGGUGUUGACUACAGGAAGAUAAAACAAAGUAGAAACUUUUGUCAGUUGGUGAAAGAUGAAAGCAUUUCCAACCAUCGUUUGUAUUUGCUGUAUGGUACUGCUGACUUGUAUGUCCAUUGUAACAUCAGAGACCACAACAACUGGACACCCUCACAAUAAUGAUUGUUUGUUACCGACGGUAAGUGGACCUUGUGAAGCGUAUUUUCCACGUUAUUCCUACAACCACAAGACAAAUUCAUGCACAC